UACGGAGGGGGCUAGCGUUGUUCGGAAUUACUGGGCGUAAAGCGCACGUAGGCGGCUUUGUAAGUUAGAGGUGAAAGCCCAGGCUUAACCCUGGAAUUGCCUUUAAGACUGCAUCGCUAGAAUUGUGGAGAGGUAAGUGGAAUUCCGAGUGUAGAGGUGAAAUUCGUAGAUAUUCGGAAGAACACCAGUGGCGAAGGCGACUUACUGGACACAUAUUGACGCUGAGGUGCGAAAGCGUGGGGAGCAAACAGG
rnacentral:rRNA from 1 species